rnacentral:lncRNA from 1 species
CUACACACACACACAGAUAAUAAUAGAUACAAUAUGAAUAUACACUUUGAUAUGCUUGUAAUACACAUUCAAACAAAUAUAUCCAUGCACACAUUACUACCUAAACACCACACUGCUCAGCAAAGCGUGAUGUAUAUUUCCCUGCCAUGUUGCAAUGUAACAGAGCGUAUCUAGGCCUUUCUGUGUAUAAACAUGUGGACACCUUAGAGUGUCAGGCAGGGUGGAAGGUUCUGUUUGUAAACAGCAGAGGAUGGACAGUGUCGUCAGUGUUUGUUUCAGGGUCAUAUGACAGCUGGGUGAACGGUGGAUGUAAACAGCAGAGUAUGGACAGUGUCUGUCAGUGUUUGUUUCAGGGUCAGAUGACAGCUGGGUGAACGGUGGAUGGAAACAGCAGAGUAUGGACAGUGUCUGUCAAGUGUUUGUUUCAGGGUCAGAU